rnacentral:tRNA from 1 species
GUCCCAGUGGCCGAGUGGUUAAGGCGUUGCCCUGCUAUCAGGCAGUGGGUUUUGCCCGCGCAGGUUCGAAUCCUGUCUGUGACG